rnacentral:rRNA from 1 species
AGCGAACGCUGGCGGCAGGCUUAACACAUGCAAGUCGAACGGGCUUCUUCGGAAGUCAGUGGCAGACGGGUGAGUAACACGUGGGAACGUGCCCUUCGGUUCGGAAUAACUCAGGGAAACUUGAGCUAAUACCGGAUACGCCCUUUUGGGGAAAGGUUUACUGCCGAAGGAUCGGCCCGCGUCUGAUUAGCUUGUGGGUGGGGUAACGGCCUACCAAGGCGACGAUCAGUAGCUGGUCUGAGAGGAUGAUCAGCCACACUGGGACUGAGACACGGCCCAGACUCCUACGGGAGGCAGCAGUGGGGAAUAUUGGACAAUGGGCGCAAGCCUGAUCCAGCCAUGCCGCGUGAGUGAUGAAGGCCUUAGGGUUGUAAAGCUCUUUUGUCCGGGACGAUAAUGACGGUACCGGAAGAAUAAGCCCCGGCUAACUUCGUG